AGAGCGGCGACGGCAAGAGCCGAAAGCGAUUGGAGGCGACCUAAAUCAGGGCCCGCCUCUUUUCCUGUAUCGAAUUGGUCAGAGGAACUUUUUUUUGGCGCCAAAACUUUUUGCUUGCAGCGAAAACAAGGAAGGGAGAUUUAAAAUGGCGGCUCCGGCUCGAAAUGGGAGAGAUUCGGCGCUUUUUGCGAAAUUCGCCAUCGCGUUCAUGUCUUGGGAGGCAGACACAUGGAAUCCAGGAAAGAGGACCUACUUGCGCUGACAUUUCUGACUCAGCUCAACUUCUCAAAAAUAUCACUUUUCUUCAACUAGCCAGAUUAUUCCAGAGCAUGGUGACAAACGGCUGCCACUCCCCCCCGCUUAAUCUGGCUACAUCAUCAUUGAAUUUAUUCUCACAUGUAUAUAAAACAAUUAUAUAACAAUACAGAGACAGCUCACAUUAUCUACCACACUGAUAUUCUGGACAACCACAGCUUUUAUGGCUGACCAGCAAGGAAUGGGAGUUUUAUUUUACACAUCAGGCAAUCCCUGGACUGAGAAAAUUCCAAGG